rnacentral:rRNA from 1 species
UACGUAGGUGGCUAGCGUUGUCCGGAUUUACUGGGCGUAAAGGGCGCGUAGGCGGUCGUGACAAGUCACUUGUGAAAUCUCCGGGCUUAACUCGGAACGGUCAAGUGAUACUGUCGGACUAGAGUACAGAAGGGGCAACUGGAAUUCUCGGUGUAGCGGUGAAAUGCGUAGAUAUCGAGAGGAACACCUGCGGCGAAGGCGGGUUGCUGGGCUGAUACUGACGCUGGAGGCGCGAAAGCUAGGGGAGCGAACGGG